CCAUGGCAAUCCUGGUGGCGUUGCUAAUGGCGUCAGUGGCACUGCCGCUCCUCAUGGUGCCCGACAUGCUCUCUAUGCCAGGCUCCAACGGCGUGGAUCGCGGCGCCGCCCUGUCGCUCCCACGCCCGUGCUUCAGCAGAUCCGUGUUUGAGUCGUGCAUACCUUUAGCCGCCUCCCCUCCAAUGUCCACGACUCUGAUAUACCGUGUUUGUUAGUCUUGACUGGUGUUUGUUCUCCGUAUUGUUGUGCAGGAGGCUGGAGAACAGCAGGGAGAAAAGGGAGUCGUGGAUGGAGACUUGUCCUACAUGGCCGAGCGAGAUCGAGGCUAGCCACCGGUAAUGUUCUUCUCCCGUGCAAGUUCCGCACUGCAUUGAAGCAUCCAACACAUGAUGUAGCUACGUUACAGGUGGGACAUCAGCCAAGUAUGUUUCGAGGUGAGACAUCCAUCAAGUUUGUUUGGAGAAAUUGUGCAGUCCAGCUCCUGCGUGCUGGUCACCGAGCUCCACUGUGUCCAGCUCAUCCGACCAUGUGCUCCACUGCAUCUAGGUCAGCCGAUCUUGUGGCAGAGCUACACUGACGCAAGAGCAAAU